rnacentral:rRNA from 1 species
UAAACGACUCUCGGCAACGGAUAUCUCGGCUCUCGCAUCGAUGAAGAACGUAGCGAAAUGCGAUACUUGGUGUGAAUUGCAGAAUCCCGUGAACCAUCGAGUCUUUGAACGCAAGUUGCGCCCCGAGCCAGGGGCACGCCUGCCUGGGUGUCACGC